rnacentral:rRNA from 1 species
AGAGUUUGAUCCUGGCUCAGAGUGAACGCUGGCGGCAUGGUUAAGACAUGCAAGUCGAACGAGAAGCAGAACUUCGGUUUUGUGGACAGUGGCGAACGGGUGCGUAACACGUGAGCAACCUGCCCCUAAGUACGGAAUAGCCCACCGAAAGGUGGAUUAAUACCGCAUGUGACCCUUUAUCGCAUGGUAGAGUGGUUAAAGCUUGUAAUGGCGCUUAGGGAUGGGCUCGCGGCCUAUCAGCUUGUUGGUGAGGUAAAGGCUCACCAAGGCUAAGACGGGUAGCUGUUCUGAGAGGAUGAUCAGCCACACCGGGACUGAGACACGGCCCGGACACCUACGGGUGGCAGCAGUUUCGAAUCAUUCACAAUGGGCGAAAGCCUGAUGAUGCAAUGCCGCGUGGAGGAUGACGGCCCUAGGGUUGUAAACUCCUGUCAUUAGGGAACAACAAGUAGGUUCAUAGCCUACUCUGAGUUAACCUAAAGAGGAAGAGGUGGCUAACUCCGUGCCAGCAGCCGCGGUAAUACGGAGACCUCGAGCGUUACUCGGAUUUACUGGGCGUAAAGGGUGAGCAGGCGGCCAGGUGUGUCAGGUGUGAAAUCCCGGGGCUUAACCCCGGAACUGCGCCUGAAACUACCUGGCUAGAGUCUCGGAGAGGACAGUGGAAUUCUAGGUGUAGCGGUGAAAUGCGUAGAUAUCUAGAGGAACACCAGUGGCGAAGGCGACUGUCUGGACGAGUACUGACGCUCAAUCACGAAAGCGUGGGUAGCGAAAGGGAUUAGAUACCCCUGUAGUCCACGCCGUAAACGUUGUGCACUAAGUUUCGGAGGAUUCGACCCCUUCGGAGCUCAAGCUAACGCGUUAAGUGCACCGCCUGAGGACUACGGCCGCAAGGCUAAAACUCAAGGAAUUGACGG